rnacentral:rRNA from 1 species
UUUCAACGGAGAGUUUGAUCCUGGCUCAGGACGAACGCUGGCGGCGUGCUUAACACAUGCAAGUCGAGCGGAAAGGCCCUUCGGGGUACUCGAGCGGCGAACGGGUGAGUAACACGUGAGUAAU